rnacentral:tRNA from 1 species
UGGCUCAGUGGUAGAGCGCUUGCCUUGCAUGCAUGAGGCUCUGGGUUCGAUUCCUUA